UCCGUUAAACCGCUCCUCUCUGCUCACUCACUAGCACACAGAUCCUCGUGAAAAUUGGGCGAACCGAGAAGAAAAAAGAAAGUUCUUGAAGGUCCGAUUCUCUGUCUUAUAUGUGUUUUUUUUCUUUAAUCCUCAGUUAACUUCAUGCUCGUUCUCUUGGGUUCUGUUAAUUCGUUCCUGUUACCUUCAUCGAUUUUUCUUUUUCCUUCUGUACAAGUUUACAAGUAGUAUGUAUCUAAAUUGUUCAUCUUAUUAGUUUUAAUUUUUGUAGUUCUUGUUUUUAUGUCCAAAAAAUAAAUAUAUUAAAGAGGAAAAUAUCAUGUUGUUCUUACUAAUUAUCGUUGUUGUCAGUUUUUUUCAUCUGUUUGGAAUCGAGGGCCUGUCAGAAACAAUCUUUCCUUCUUUUUAACGAAGAGGUAAGGUCUAAGGUCUGCAUAUACACAUUCUUUUCAAAACCCACUUAUAGAAUUAUAUUGGGUAUGUUGUUCUUCUUGAAAUAGAAGAAAGGAAAACCCCCAAAUUUUAAAACCCUUAAACACCCAUUCUGCCGUAACCCUAGCACAUCCAAACCCAAAUGUUUGCUUUCUCUUCCCCUUUUGACUACAUUUAACUUAAUUGUUUGCUGUAUCUUCCCCAGUGUAAUUUCACACACACACACACACAUAUACAUGUGUAUAUAUAUAUACACACAUACACACACACGAGAUAAAUUGGUUCUGAACGAUUGAGAUCAUGAUUUUUUUGAUCAUUAUUGUCGUGUUUAUGCUGUUGUUGUAAAUUGAUUUGCGUAAAUCGGUUGUUUUUGAUAUAUAGUCCCAUCUUGGCACAAUUAUCCUUUUACAUGACUCCCUUUAAGUCACGUAUAUUUUGGUAAUGUGUUUUGGGCACAGUUAAUUAUUGUCAAGUCCUUAAUGCCGUUACCGUCGAAACACGUAAGUUUUAUUUGUUUCUCUGUUAAUGCAAAGUUGUAAGAAGG
rnacentral:lncRNA from 1 species